ACUGGUCACUCAGAUUGGAACCAGUCUCUGUUCUCAGUAAUAGGCGGCCUAUAGCUGGAGGGACAUCUUUAAAUAUGUUUAUAAAAAUAAUCGAACAACCUGGCGCAAGGAUUACCUUGUGACGAGCCACAAUGCGCGCACGAUAUUCAAGAAGUUCCUGCGAAGCGUUGUGACUGUGCCCACUCAGUUAAGAAUCCUGAGUGAAUGCUACGUGAGCGUUUUCAGGGGCUUAAGAAUAGGCCUAUAACAUUGCCAGCCUUUUCUGUGGAUGUAAAAAAUCAUUUUGUCAUUUCAUUUCAACCAAAUAAAAAAAUGUUUUCUUGGUAAACACGUGUACAUUCGUGUCCUUAUUUGAAGGAUACCAUUUCAAUUGUCGUGUUGUUUUAACUUUGGAUGCUAAACCUCACCAUCAAAACCAUCAAUACCUAAACCUUGUUAUGAGCUACUUUUGUGAUUCUCUAUAUUGUUCUCUAAAAUAUUAAAUUAUUUUCGAUAUUUUGACAUAUUCUAAUUCUUGCAUUAUUUUUUUAUUUCGAUGUUUUACACUGUCGGCCAUUUAAGUAAACGUUUGCAACGCAUCACAUUAAGACUGAAGAUAAUCUAUAUAUAUUUCUUAAUUCAUUUAUUUAUUUAUUCAAACUGGAGCAGCAUGGAAUGUUUGAAAUAAAAAAGAGGAUAUUUAUUUCUCUCUGUUCAAUAAAAGAAAUUGUUCAUGUGUAACGCUUCCCACCCUUAUUGCAUGAUUGAUUGAUUUUACAUUCUUAGAGAAAAAUAAAAACUCCUGCAAGAAACCAAAAAAAUAACACGAACGCCUACGCACACACUCAUGCACGCGCACACACACACACACACACACACACACACACACACACACACACACACACACACACACACACACACACACACACACACACACACACACACACACACA